AUGCCCUUGGCCACCAGCCACAGCGGGAGCGGCAGCAAGUCAUCGGGGCCACCACCGGGUAGGGUUUCUCCGGGAGCGGGGCAGCUGCAGGAGCCGGGCGGCGGCGCCAGCUUCUCAGCACCCUGCAACCGGCACUGGCACUGUGCAGAUGGAGGCCAUGAAGCAGAUCCUUGGGGUGAUCAACAAGAAACUGCGGAACCUGGAGAAGAAAAAGGGUAAGGUUGAUGAUUACCAGGAACGAAUGAACAAAGGGGAAAGGCUUAAUCAAGAUCAGCUGGAUGCCGUUUCUAAGUACCAGGAAGUCACCAAUAAUUUGGAGUUUGCAAAAGAAUUACAGAGGCGUUUCAUGGCACUAAGUCAAGAUAUUCAGAAAACAAUAAAGAAGACAGCACGUCAGGAGCACCUUAUGAGAGAAGAAGCUGAACAGAAACGUUUAAAAACUGUACUUGAGCUACAGUAUGUUUUGGACAAACUGGGAGAUGAUGAAGUGUGAACUGACCUGAAACAAGGUUUGAAUGGAGUGCCUAUAUUGUCCGAAGAGGAAUUGUCAUUGUUGGAUGAAUUCUAUAAUUCAACUGACCCUGAACGGGACAUGAGCUUGAGGUUGAAUGAACAGUAUGAACAUGCUUCCAUUCACCUGUGGGACCUGCUGGAAGGGAAGGAAAAAUCUGUAUGUGGAACCACAUAAAGUUCUAAAGGAAAUUAUCGACUGUGUUCUUCAGUCAAACUACUUUGACAACACCCACAACCACCAGAAUGGGUUGCGUGAGGAAGAAGAGGCAGCCGCAGCACGUACAGUUGAAGACCAGAUAGCUGAAGCUGAACCUGAGCCAGCAGAGAGUACACUGAGCAAAAUAAAGUUGAAUCCACAGAGGAUGCAAAUAGACAGUUCAUGGCAGAAACACAGUACACCAGUGGUGAAAAGGAGCAGGUAGAUGAGUGGACAGUUGAAACAGUUGAGGUGGUAAAUUCACUCCAGGAGCAACCGCAGGCUGCAUCCUCUUCAGUACCGCAGCCCCACUCUCUGACUAGAGUGGCUCAGGCAGAUUCCCUUGUGAGAAGACAGUGAGUGCAAGACCUUAUGGCACAGAUGCAGGGUCUGUAUAAUUUCAUACAGAAUUCAAUGCUGGAUUUUGAAAAUGAGACACUUGAUCCUGCCAUUGUAUCUGCACAGCCUAUGAAUCCAGCACAAAACAUGGACAUGCCCCAGCUGGUUUGACCUCCAGUUCAGUCUGAAUCUAGACUUGCUCAGCCUAAUCAAGUUCCUGUACAACCAGAAGCUACAAGGUUCCUCUGGUGUCAUCCACAAGCGAGGGGUAUACAGCAUCUCAACCUUUGUACCAGCCUUCUCAUGCUACAGAGCAAUGACCACAGAAGGAACCAAUCAAUCAGAUUCAGGCAACAAUCUCUUUAAAUACAGACCAGACUACAGCAUCAUCAUCCCUUUCUGCUGCUUCUCAGCCUCAAGUAUUUCAGGCUGGGACAAGCAAACCUUUACAUAGUGGUGGAAUUAAUGCAAAUGCAGCUCCAUUCCAAUCCAUGGAAACGGUGUUCAAUAUGAAUACCCCAGUUCCCCCUGUUAAUGAACCAGCAACUUUAAAACAGCAAAAUCAGUACCAGACGAGUUAUAACUAGAGCUUUUCUAGUCAGCCUCACCAAGUAGAAGAAACAGAGCUUCAGCAAGAACAGCUUCAAACAGUGGUGGGCACUUACCAUGGUUCCCCAGACCAGUCCCAUCAAGUGAUGGGAACCACCAGCAGCUUCCUCAGCGGAACAGUGGAUUUCCACGUAGCAGUCAGCCCUAUUACAAUAGCUGUGGUGUGUCUCAUGGAGGUUCUCGUGGUGCUAGAAGCUUGAUGAAUGGAUACCGGGGCCCUGCCAAAGGACUCAAAGGAGGAUAUGAUGGUUGCCACCCUUCAUUCUCUAACACUCCAAACAGUGGUUAUACACGAUCUCAGUUCAAUGCUCCCUGGGAUUACUCUGGCUAUCAACGGGUUGGAUAUCAGCAGAAUUUCAAGCAAGGCUCUGGGCAGAGUGGACCAUGGGGAGCCCCACAAGGUUGUGGAGGGCCCCCAAGACUCAACAGAGGGAUGCUGCAAAUGAACACUCAGCAAGUGAAUUAAUCUGAUUCACAGGAUUAUGCUUAAUGGCCAAAAACACACUGGCCAGUGUACUGUAAUAUGUUACCAGAAAAGUUAUUAUCUAUUUGUUCUCACUUUCAGGAAACUUAUUGUAAAGGGACUGUUUUCAUCCCAUAAAGACAGGACUACAAUUGUCAGCUUUAUAUUACCUGGAUAUGGAAGGAAAUUAUUUUUACUCUGCAUGUUCUGUCCUAAGUGUCAUCUUGAGCCUUGCACAUGUUACUCAGAUUCCUCACCCUUGCUUAGGAGUAAAACAAUGUACUUUACAGGGUGAUAAU